rnacentral:rRNA from 1 species
AUUGAACGCUGGCGGCAGGCUUAACACAUGCAAGUCGAGCGGGGACUUCGGUCCUAGCGGCGAACGGGUGAGGAAUGCUUGGGAAUCUGCCCAGUAGCGGGGGAUAACGUUUCGAAAGGAACGCUAAUACCGCAUACGCCCUACGGGGGAAAGGGGCGGGAUCUUCGGACCUCUCACUAUUGGAUGAGCCCAAGUCGGAUUAGCUAGUUGGUGGGGUAAAGGCCUACCAAGGCGACGAUCCGUAGCUGGUCUGAGAGGAUGAUCAGCCACACUGGAACUGGGACACGGUCCAGACUCCUACGGGAGGCAGCGGUGGGGAAUAUUGGACAAUGGGCGAAAGCCUGAUCCAGCCAUGCCGCGUGUGUGAAGAAGGCCUUCGGGUUGUAAAGCACUUUAAGCGAGGAGGAAUGGCUCUUGGCUAAUAACCUUGAGCAGUGACGUUACUCGCAGAAUAAGCACCGGCUAACUCUGUGCCAGCCGCCGCGGUAAAAC